CCCUUAGAGUUUGAUCCUGGCUCAGGAUGAACGCUGGCGGCGUGCUUAACACAUGCAAGUCGAACGAACUGAUGAGGAGCUUGCUCCUUUGAAGUUAGUGGCGGACGGGUGAGUAACGCGUGGGUAACCUACCCUAUAGAGGGGGAUAACGUUUGGAAACGAACGCUAAUACCGCAUAAACUAUGGAGCUUCGCAUGAAGCUUAUAGCAAAGAUUUAUCGCUAUAGGAUGGACCCGCGUUGGAUUAGCUAGUUGGUGAGAUAACAGCCCACCAAGGCGACGAUCCAUAGCCGGCCUGAGAGGGUGAACGGCCACAUUGGGACUGAGACACGGCCCAAACUCCUACGGGAGGCAGCAGUGGGGAAUAUUGCACAAUGGGCGAAAGCCUGAUGCAGCGACGCCGCGUGAAGGAUGAAGGUUUUCGGAUCGUAAACUUCUAUCAGCAGGGAAGAAACAAAUGACGGUACCUGACUAAGAAGCUCCGGCUAACUACGUGCCAGCAGCCGCGGUAAUACGUAGGGAGCAAGCGUUAUCCGGAAUUAUUGGGCGUAAAGGGUGCGCAGGCGGUCCGUUAAGUUUGUGGUGAAAGCGUUGGGCUCAACCCAAUACAGCCACGGAUACUGGCGGACUAGAGUACAGAAGAGGACAGUGGAAUUCCAUGUGUAGAGGUAAAAUUCGUAGAUAUAUGGAGGAACACCAGUGGCGAAGGCGGCUGUCUGGUCUGUAACUGACGCUCAUGCACGAAAGCGUGGGGAGCAAAUAGGAUUAGAUACCCUAGUAGUCCACGCCGUAAACGAUGGAUACUAAGUGUUGGGGGAACUCAGUGCUGCAGUUAACGCAAUAAGUAUCCCGCCUGUGGAGUAUGCACGCAAGUGCGAAACAUAAAGGAAUUGACGGGGGCCCGCACAAGCGGUGGAGUAUGUGGUUUAAUUCGAAGCAAUGCGAAGAACCUUACCUGGUCUUGACAUCCCGAUGAAUACAGGGUAAUGCCUGUAGUACUUCGGUACAUUGGAGACAGGUGGUGCAUGGUUGUCGUCAGCUCGUGUCGUGAGAUGUUGGGUUAAGUCCCGCAACGAGCGCAACCCCUAUAUUUAGUAGCCAGCAAGUAAAGUUGGGCACUCUAGAUAGACUGCCGGGGAUAACCCGGAGGAAGGUGGGGAUGACGUCAAAUCAUCAUGCCCCUUAUGACCAGGGCUACACACGUGCUACAAUGGCGUAAACAAAGGGAAGCGAGAGGGUGACCUGGAGCGAAUCCCAAAAAUAACGUCUCAGUUCGGAUUGUAGUCUGCAACUCGGCUACAUGAAGCUGGAAUCGCUAGUAAUCGCGAAUCAGAAUGUCGCGGUGAAUACGUUCCCGGGUCUUGCACACACCACCCGUCA
rnacentral:rRNA from 1 species